UCCAGAGUGAUUCCAAGUUUCUAUAUGUUCCUUAUAUUAUGAAUUUAAGAUCUGGAGAAUAUGGGGUGUUAUUUCCAAUUAUAAAUUGGUUAGAAUGGAUCCACACUCCAGGUCAGUGGGCAGUCACCAGCUUUUGCUAGUGCUGUGAUUGUCCACAAUGUGAAUUUUAUAUCUGGAGUUUGAGAGAUGCUUUUCAUUCAAUUCCAACUCUGAGACUUUCACUUGUAUGUCCUUUACUUCUCUUAAUUUUCUUUUGGACGAAUUCUACUCACAAGUUGGGUAGAAUUGGCCAACAUCACUUGACUGUAUUGUUGGAGACAGAAGUGAUACACCAUUUUGUAAAAUUCAUAUUUAAUUCAUCUUUUGGAGUUAGAAUGAGUUCUUUAUAGUUAUGGAAUCCUGAGCAAUCAUAGUUUCCUAUAAAAUUUAGUUAAAACUAUGUUUCUGUUUUAGAUUUUGGAGUAAAUCAGUUUUGAACAGCAGGUCUGUUUUAGAGACCUUGCUGUGAUUACUCUUUUCUCAACUCAUAGCUUCAUUACUUCUCGUUUCUAACCUUUAGUCCUUCUUAGGCGAGGUUUUGAAGUUUGCUCAAGCUUGGUAGCAUUAUUUGAUUGUUAGCCAUCCUUAAUACUCACUCAAGGUGUUAAGAUUAAAGAGGCUAAGGCUUGACAUGGAGCAUCGGGACAUCGCUACUAGUUAUUUUGUUGGGACCUUAUUAUUAUUAUUACUUCCGCACUUAUUUUAUAUGGUUAUUAAGUUGAUGGAUUAUGUUAUGACUAUUUCAGUUGUUUUAAUUUAAUUUAAGAUGGGUUUUAAAAGUUUAAAA